AAAUUGAAGAGUUUGAUCAUGGCUCAGAUUGAACGCUGGCGGCAGGCCUAACACAUGCAAGUCGAACGGUAACAGGAAUCAGCUUGCUGAUUCGCUGACGAGUGGCGGACGGGUGAGUAAUGUCUGGGAAACUGCCUGAUGGAGGGGGAUAACUACUGGAAACGGUAGCUAAUACCGCAUAACGUCGCAAGACCAAAGAGGGGGACCUUCGGGCCUCUUGCCAUCGGAUGUGCCCAGAUGGGAU
rnacentral:rRNA from 1 species